rnacentral:lncRNA from 1 species
CUCUUAGGCUCGAGAGAUCCUCCCACUUCAGCCUCCCAAGUAGCUGGGACCACAGGUAUACAACACCAUGCCCAGCUAACGUUUAAAUUUUUUUGCAGAGACAGGACCUCCCUCUGUUGCUCAGGCUGGUCUGGAAUUCCUGGGUUCAAGUGAUUCUCCUGCUUUAUCCUCCCAAAGUGCUGUGAUUGCAGGCAUGUGCCACUGCCUGGCCCCAUAUAAGUGAGAUGAUGACUUUAGCCUAAAAGUUCCACACCAGCCUGGGUAACAUAGCACAAGACCCUGACUCUACAAAUCUAAAAACAUUAACUGGUCAUGGUGACACCUGCCUGUGGUCCCAGCUACUCCAGGAGGCUGAGGCAGGAGGAUAACUUGAGCCCAGGAGUUGAGGCUGCAGUGAGCUCUGAUCAGGCUGCAGUGAGCUCUUAUCCAUCUAUUCACCCGUCUAUCCAUCCAUUCACCUGUCCAUCCACCCAUCCUUUCGUCCUUCCAUCAUCUAUCUGUUUACCUGUUCAUCCAUCCAUCCAUCCAUCCAUCCAUCAUCAUCCAUCCCUCCGUCCAUCCAUCCAUCAUCCAUCCAUCCUUUUAUCAUCCAUCCAUUCACCUGUCCAUCCAUCCAUUCACCUGUUCGUCCAUCCAUUCACCAGUUCGUCCAUCCAUCCAUCCUUCCAUCUAUCUUUCCAUCAUCUAUCCAACUGUUUAUCCUUCUAUCCAAACGUCAUCCAUCCAUUCUUCAUCUGUUCAUCUCUUCAUCCAUUCACCUGUUUGUCCAUCCAUCCAUCCAUCCUUCCAUCCAUCCUUCCAUCCAUCUUUCCAUUAUCCAUCCAUUCAGCUGUUCAUCCUUCUAUCCAUCCAACCAUCUUCCAUCCAUCCAUGAUCCAUCCAUUCACCCUUCCAUCCAUCCAUUCAACUGUUCAUUCUUCUAUCCAUCCAUCAUCCAUCCAUCCUUCCAUCAUUCGUCCACUUGCCUUGCUCAUCCUUCCAUU